GAAGUGGAGGGUUGGCAGCAGCGAGGAGUUGCAUUAGGCGACCAUUAUUCUCGUUCAUUAUCCUCAUCUGCUCAGCCAUAUCGUGUAUCUCACGGUGGAGGCCUUCUAGAUCUAGAACUUGGGCUGGAUUGGCCAUAGGAUGGGAUCUGUUACUCGGGGGGCUACUGGCACUUGGUCUGGGUAGGUUGCGACUGCGCAGGUGCAUAGAGAACUGUCGUUCCCACAGACGG
rnacentral:lncRNA from 1 species